rnacentral:rRNA from 1 species
CAGUAGCCACGGGAAUACGUAGGGUGCAAGCGUUAAUCGGAAUUACUGGGCGUAAAGCGUGCGUAGGUGGUGGUUUAAGUCCGUUGUGAAAGCCCUGGGCUCAACCUGGGAAUUGCAGUGGAUACUGGGUCACUAGAGUGUGGUAGAGGAUAGUGGAAUUUCCGGUGUAGCAGUGAAAUGCGUAGAGAUCGGAAGGAACAUCUGUGGCGAAGGCGACUAUCUGGGCCAACACUGACACUGAGGCACGAAAGCGUGGGGAGCAAACAGGAUUAGAUACCCGUGUAGUCCCUGUCUCUUAUAC